rnacentral:rRNA from 1 species
UACGUAGGAGGCAAGCGUUGUCCGGAAUUACUGAGCGUAAAGCGCGUGUAGGUGGUGGGACAAGUCUGCUGUGAAAGCGCCUGGCUUAACCGGGCGAGGUCGGCGGAAACUGUCCGACUCGAGGACGGUAGAGGGGGGUGGAAUUCCCGGUGUAGUGGUGAAAUGCGUAGAGAUCGGGAGGAACACCUGUGGCGAAGGCGGCCCCCUGGGCCGGCCCUGACACUGAGACGCGAAGGCGUGGGGAGCGAACAGG